rnacentral:rRNA from 1 species
UAGAGGCCUACCAUGGUGGUAACGGGUAACGGGGUGUUAGGGCACGACACCGGAGAGGGAGCCUGAGAAACGGCUACCACAUCCAAGGAUGGCAGCAGGCGCGCAAAUUACCCAAUCCCGACACGGGGAGGUAGUGACAAUAAAUAACAAUACGGGGUUCUUUAGGAUCUCGUAAUUGGAAUGAGUACAAUUUAAAUCUCUUAACGAGGAACAAUUGGAGGGCAAGUCUGGUGCCAGCAGCCGCGGUAAUUCCAGCUCCAAUAGCGUAUAUUAAAGUUGUUGCAGUUAAAAAGCUCGUAGUUGAAUUUCGGGAUCAAUUUGUCGGUCGUGCCUCGGUACGUACUGGUAUUAUUGGUUUCUACCUUCUGAAGAACCUUGAUGUCAUUAAUUUGGUGUCUUGGGGAAUCAGGACUGUUACUUUGAAAAAAUUAGAGUGUUUAAAGCAAGCAUACGCUUGAAUACAUUAGCAUGGAAUAAUGAAAUAGGACGUUUGAUUCUAUUUUGUUGGUUUCUAGGAUCGACGUAAUGAUUAAUAGGGAUAGUUGGGGGCAUUAGUAUUCAAUUGUCAGAGGUGAAAUUCUUGGAUUUAUUGAAGACUAACUACUGCGAAAGCAUUUGCCAAGGAUGUUUUCAUUAAUCAAGAACGAAAGUUAGGGGAUCGAAGACGAUCAGAUACCGUCGUAGUCUUAACCAUAAACUAUGCCGACUAGGGAUCGGAUGAUGUUAAUUUUUAAUGACUCAUUCGGCGCCUUACGGGAAACC